rnacentral:lncRNA from 1 species
GUUUAGUAGGAAAACUCUACCUUUAGACCUGAAAAGACGGGUAUUUUCAUACACAACACUGGCCUCCCACAUUCCUGACAACAGGGAAUGCUUUCCUGGUACCACGGGAGCUGCUCGGCCAGGCAGGCAGAUGUCAAAGGAAGAUGUCAAAGGCAGUUCAUGGGCUCCCAAGGAAGAGGACUGUUCUGACUGGAAUGUGACGUGUCAGCCACAGGCUCAUAUGUUCGGACUCUUGGUGCCAGCUCACGGUGUUGUUUAGAGAGGACACACGUCCCUGGGGUGUGGGAUUUACUGAUGGAAGUACAUGACUGGGAACUGGACUUUGGAGGUUCUAUCUGCCUCUGGUUCUAGGCCCUUAUGUCAGGUCUACCUCACAACAAGGAAUGUAGCGAAUGCAGUAACUCUAGCUCAAGGAUUUGGGUCUCAGACUAAAGAAAACCUGCCAAUGCGAAAUGAUUCUCAUCCGCUGAAGAUUC